AGGGUACCGUCAAGAUACGAGAUUAUUCACCCCGCAGCCUUCUUCCCCUAUGACAGUAGUUUACAAUCCAAGAACCUUCUUCCUACACGCGGUAUUGCUGGAUCAGGGUUUCCCCCAUUGUCCAAUAUUCCCC
rnacentral:rRNA from 1 species